GGACUUAACAAGCAGCUGGAACUUGUUCUCACUGGCGCUAACAGAAAAACAGCUUUAUAAACCAUUGCUGUAUGCUGUUGAACGAAGAUGCCCGGUUCAUGCUUUAAAAGGAGGCUCCUGGAAGAACAGCCUGAAGACACUGUCUCAGAUCAAAAGCAGCCUCAAAAGGACAUCUUUUUCAAAUUCAAUUACUGACUCUGGGGACUUACAUGGAGGAGUUAUGGUUAUGAAGAAGAAAAGAUCAACCACUUGGAUCUGAAGAUGUUUACAGCAUUAAGAUAGAUGGAUUAUUCAAGGUCGGAUCCUAAUAUUUUCUCUUCUGAUGAGACAAUUUAAAAAGAUAAGUGCCGAUUUUUGCUUUCAGAGUCAUCAGCUCUGUAUUUUUCCCCUUGUCUCCUGACAUUCUCUUGGAUUUGUGGUGUUAAUUACAUUCCACUAACCUUGGCUUCUAGAAUGCCAAGACUCUUAGCUGCUAAGAUCCACAAAUAACAUCAAUUAGAUAAAUGGGGCGUUUCCACUCUCUCAUGCAACCCUGUUGGAUCUGCAAGUGCAGCGCUAAUAACUCCUAGGAUUCUGCUGCAUGGUCCUGACUUCAAAUAUUUUGAGAAUGAAUGUAAAUUAGAGUAUUUCGACUUUUAGUUUGGAUAAUAUAAUCACUAUAUAUAUGAAAUAUUAAAACUUUGAAAUGAAAAUUGUUCUCAUUUUAAAACUCCAGG
rnacentral:lncRNA from 1 species